rnacentral:piRNA from 1 species
UGGUGAUUAGAUUCCUAAGAUCAUAGC